AAGUUGAUAUUAAACCUUUACCAGUGAGAACACUGCCAUAAGGGCAGGGGACGUCUUCAGAAAGUGACACCUAGCAUCUAAAAGUGUCCAUAGGCCUGUGAAAAAUAGUACUGCCCCAAGAGAUUAGCACAGAACAGUUAGGUUACAGAGUUAGACAAGAAGAAUAAACAGAUGAAGUUGGGACUGUCGUGACUAGCUAUUGCCUGCUGGAAAUGAGUCCUCAUUGUAUUUGGGUCUGAGAAAGCAGCGCCCACAGCCACGGCUACCACUUCUAAGACAAGAGCCAGAAAAGCACAUAAAAAGAUGUAUGGGCAUAUUAACAUAAAUUUGUAGCUAUCUAUGAAACAAAGACACCCAGCUUACAUGCUUUUGAUAAUGAAACAGUAGUUGUCAUAGGACACAGUGCAGCCAUAGCUUCCUGUGUGCACACAGCACUCAAGCCAUCCGUUAAGAUUCUGCAUGGCUUUCAUACAGUAAACAGCAACAAAUGAUUCUUAAAAUCCAUCAAGAAAGAGUUUCCUAAAUGCAAAAAUAAGUAUAGAAUCCCUCUAUGAUGUCAGUAAUUAGUUUGGGGUCACCCAGUGUCUGGUGUACUGUAGGGACCCAGUAAGUUUUCAGGGAAGGCAUGUAAACAUUUAGAAGACAGGCAAAAACACGUUUUCUCAAGCUGUUGGAACCAUUUUACAAUGAAAACCCACUGAACAUGUGUUAGGUCACAUUAGGUGAGGGGACAGAACAAAAACAUAUUGAAAUGGAAGACUGCAAAGGGAAACAUCUUGUUGGUUUUUAUUGCUGUUCAAGGUUUUAUCUAUAUAGUUCUGAAUAUUUUUUAUAAAGGCUCAGCAUAAGUUACAGAUUUAAUUUUGCUAAGGCAUUUAGGCAAACACAAUGAGCACGAAGACACACAGCUCCCUUCGCUUUCUUCAGUCUUGUGUCGUUCCUUUGGCACAGAGUACCAAACAUGAAAGCUUAGAAACACAUUCAACUGAAAAAUUUCCUUUUGUUCUAAAUAUUUGGCAUCUAAGAAGUCAUCUAUUAAGAAACCAGACUUUGAAAUUAUAUUCAUACUAUGACGAAAAGCAAAGAGCAGCAUGAGACUGUUUCCAAAACUCUGUUCUGCACACACACACACACACACACACACACACACACACACACAGAGAGAGAGAGAGAGAGAGAGAGAGAGAGAGAGAGAGAGAGAGAGCGCAAAUAAAUGCAACCGAACAUAAACUCAUUAACUAGGUUAGACAUGAAAACAUUUAGGGCAAAAUAUUCUGGAAAAGGAGAAGACAUGGCCAGUUAGGAGGAGAGUCCUGGCUCAGAGAGUCAGAAGAAAUACAGCUGACUUGAACUAGAUGGCAGGAGAAGAGGAUUGCUGGCAUAGAGCCACCUAGAAGGGAGAAGAGGCAAGUGGUCUGCAAAGGUGCAUAGCUUAUAGUGGAGGAACACCAGCUUUAAAACUGCAGACACGUGUUCAAGUGAGCCAGAGACAUGGAAACGCAGGAUGAAAAACUCCACAAGUCCUCAGAGUUUUUAAAUGUCCAAAGCUCCCAGACUGUCCUUCUAGCUGCCAUUCCUCUUUCCUGACUCUUAACUCUAAACCCAGUGAGAAAACCUGGAGACCGGAAUCAAAAGAGCUUGGCUGACAAGGUGAAGGUCAGGGUUCUGCAAACUGAAUCUCUGCAGAUACCAAGAAGCUCUAAUCUGAUCUUCAGUCAGGACACAGCCCCAAAGAUUAAGAUGCCUUAAUGUAAAUGACACUCACAGGGGGAAGACCAUGAGGAGCAAAGGAGCAAACAUGUAAGGUUGCCUCGGGAUUCGCUCCUGGAUGGUUGCCAAGCUGCAACAUUUUAGUAUAAGGAACGGGAAAAUGUUCCUUUGAGAGGAUGUAUCAUUUCUUUAUUCUAUUUUGGUGUGAUUAGAAGAAAAGAAAGAUCUAAGCGCACAAAAAGUAUAUAUAUAAAUAAAAUAGAACGUUCUCCAACAGUACAGCUCCUAGCCAGAGACAACAAAGUAUUGCUCUUUACCAAGAAUACAAAUAUUAAUAUGGAGGCAGAAAAGAAAAACACAUUUCAAAAGCAUGCCUCAGGCAAGAACGAAGUUUCAGGGCAGACACACUUAACUACACAGCCCAAGUCGUAGAGUCUGCUCCAUUCUAGCGAAGAACGGACCCACAUGGAUCUAAUACUGUAGUCCCAAGGAAGUCAUUACCUAAAUGGCGUUGAAGACAGUUUUUCAUAGUUUAAAGUUUGUAUUGGAUUAACUCUACUUCUGGCAUCUAGGCAGUUUUUAGUUUGAGAGUCAUCUAUGACUUUUAUAGCACCUAUUUCUUUGAAAUAAUUAUAGGAUUACCUUACACUGCACAUAUGGGACAACUGAAGGCGGUGCAGACUAGUCGAAUCCACUAUCUGAAACGAAGGUUUUAAGGUACUCAAGGCUGAAGACUUCGUGAAACGGUAUUAAAAGGCACACAGAACAACUCAAGUGCUUAGUACUGCACUUAUUUACUUUAAAACACCCAUAGAGACUCCCCCAGGGGAGGUCAUUUUACCUGACUUACCCAAUCCACAGCAAGAUGGGAAAAGGCUUCGUGGCGAUCCAAGUCUUGUUCCAAAUUUAAACCAAGAACCCCAAGGGAGUGAAAGACGACUUGGGGGACCACUCCUCCUGCAGGGUGUGGAGGCGGGCUACCCUUCCAGAGAGAGAUACCCAGGGUCUCCCAGAACUCUAGUGACUAGGAACACUCGGGGAGUCCCAGUCCCUAUGUCCAAGUUCUGCGACCCGCGUGGCCGUUGCGGGAUCUGCACGCCUCGAGUGAGAGUCAGCCAGCGGCACCGGGGACCGACAAGAGGAGGAGGGUAGUAGCCCCGGGUGCAGGCCGGAGACCCAGGGUCCUGAGCGGCAGUCCCCGUCCCCAGUGCCCCCGACGCUCCGCUCAGCAGUCGCUGGAGCGAGGCCUCCGGGCAGCUGCAAGCAGCUGGACGCGGCCUGAACGCCCGCGCUCCACCGCUCGCUUCCCUUCGGGGGGCCCCCGCGCUCUACCCGCAACUUACUGGGGCAGUGCCCUGGCCGCGCGACGGGGACGGGAACAGGCACGGGCGAGCGAGAGGCUGCAGCGCUCUGCGGAUUCCAAGCUCGCGAAGGUUGGACGAGCAGCAGCAGCAGCCUUUCCAGGUCCGCGCAGACAGAAGCUCCCGCCGCCGAGCUUGCAGAAGG
rnacentral:lncRNA from 1 species